rnacentral:rRNA from 1 species
GACGAACCGUGCGAACGUUGUUCGGAAUCACUGGGCUUAAAGGGCGCGUAGGCGGUCGAUCACGUCCGGGGUGAAAUCUUUCGGCUUAACCGGAAAAGGGCCUUGGAUACGGAUCGGCUGGAGGGAGAUAGGGGCAGCUGGAACUUCCGGUGGAGCGGUGAAAUGCGUUGAUAUCGGAAGGAACGCCGGUGGCGAAAGCGAGCUGCUGGAUCUCUUCUGACGCUGAGGCGCGAAAGCUAGGGGAGCAAACGG